GUGCCUGGCACAUAGGAGCUUCAUAAAUGUUUAUUGGAUUUA
rnacentral:miRNA from 1 species